rnacentral:rRNA from 1 species
AGUGAACGCUGGCGGUAGGCCUAACACAUGCAAGUCGAACGGCAGCACAGUAAGAGCUUGCUCUUACGGGUGGCGAGUGGCGGACGGGUGAGGAAUACAUCGGAAUCUACUUUUUCGUGGGGGAUAACGUAGGGAAACUUACGCUAAUACCGCAUACGACCUACGGGUGAAAGCAGGGGAUCUUCGGACCUUGCGCGAUUGAAUGAGCCGAUGUCGGAUUAGCUAGUUGGCGGGGUAAAGGCCCACCAAGGCGACGAUCCGUAGCUGGUCUGAGAGGAUGAUCAGCCACACUGGAACAGAGACACGGUCCAGACGCCUACGGGAGGCAGCAGUGGGGAAUAUUGGACAAUGGGCGCAAGCCUGAUCCAGCCAUACCGCGUGGGUGAAGAAGGCCUUCGGGUUGUAAAGCCCUUUUGUUGGGAAAGAAAAGCAGCAGGUUAAUACCCCGCUGUUCUGACGGUACCCAAAGAAUAAGCACCGGCUAACUUCGUG